UACGUAGGGCGCAAGCGUUGUCCGGAAUUAUUGGGCGUAAAGAGCUCGUAGGCGGUUUGUCGCGUCUGUCGUGAAAGCCCACGGCUUAACUGUGGUCUGCGGUGGAUACGGGCAGACUUGAGGCAGGUGAGGGGAGAAUGGAAUUCCCGGUGUGAGCGGUGAAAUGCGCAGAUAGUCGGAGGAACACCGGUGGCGAAGGCGGUUCUG
rnacentral:rRNA from 1 species